rfam:Ictidomys tridecemlineatus contig015597, whole genome shotgun sequence.
GGGGAUAUAGCUCAGUUGGUAGAGUGCUUGCCUUGCACAUACAAGGCCCUGGGUUCAAUCCCCAGCACCACCA